rnacentral:lncRNA from 1 species
CUACUUUUUUCCUUCCCUUUCCCUUGAAAGAGCAUGGCCCAGGAGAAAUUUUUGUUUGGAUCAUCAAGCUGGGAUCGGAAGCGGGCAUUAUUGCAAUCCUAGGGUUUUGAUUGGUAUAUAAGGGAAUAUGGUAAAUGUUUCGACUUCCGAUUGCAUGCGUUUUAGUUCUCUUUACAUAUUUUUUUAUAGUUUUCUCCAUUUUUUAAUUUCCUUUUUCAUGUUCUUUCUUGAGGUUGAGCCGUUGGCUUCGUCUGUGCUGCAUCUAGGCCACCCGUCUGAUUUGUUUCUAUUAGAUGGUGCAGAAACAGCUGAUCGUGGCUGUUGAAGGCAUGGCCGCUAUGGGACCCUACUGGUUUACCAUUCUCUCUAAUUACCUUGACAAGAUGAAUUGGUGUUUCAUUUACCCACGCUGUGAUUUCAAAAUGUAUUUGUGUGAUAUGUUGAAAUGUUUAUUUUUUAAUGGGAGCGAAUUGUUAUGGGAUAUGGGCUUGUUUUCGUGUGGAAUGUAUUAGAAUUCUGAAAUGGGUUUUCGCGGUUCAGUAAAAUUGUUUAUUUUUUGGGAAAUAAAUAUACUCAUUUUCUCUUGGAAUUAG